CAUAUUGACCUUGACCAACGUAUUUGCGAUUUUUCAUUCCGUAAACAACAUCAACCGGAUAAAAGUUCAGCGUUUACAGAUAUCCAGUCCAUAUAUGCAGUUGGAGCUGAUAGCAUGUAUGCCAUGUACAUGUACAUGUAGAGUUACACCUUCAUCAUGGAUAUUUCAAUGUGGCCGUCAUUUGAACCUCAAAUUCUUGUGUAAAACAAACUACGGGAAAGAGUUAAGCAUAAAGAUGUUAUCAUCUAAUGAACUACCAAGCUAAUUGACAUUUCGUGGACAUUCACCUGAAUCCUCAGGAAGACAUGAUUGCAGUCUGUGCUAAAGUGUUUGAAGAAAUUAUUAUUAUGCCCCCCUUCGAGGGGUAUAUUGCUUUGCUCAGGUCGGUCGGUCCGUUGGUAGACCAAAGCUUGUCCGAGUGAUAACUGAACAAUUCCUAGACGAAGGGGCAUCAAACUUGACAUGUAGGUUGGGCCUGACCAGUAGAUGAACUCUAUUGAUUUUGGGACCCAUCGGGUCAAAGGUCUAGGUCACAGUGACCUUUAAUGUUGUAAUAAUUUUAAAGCUUGUCCGAGUGAUAAUUCAACAAUGCCUAGACCUAUGGUCAUCAAUCUUGAUAUGGAAGUUGGGCCUGACCAGUAGGUGACCCCUUUUGUUUUUGGGAGUCAUCGGGCCAAAGGUCAAGGUCACAGUGACCUUGAAUGGUAAAAGGUUGUCCGUGUGAUAACUCGACAAUGCCUGCACCCAAGACCCUCAUACUUGACUUGGAGUUGCGUCUGACCUGUAGAUGACCCCUUGUGGUUUUAGGAGUCAUCGGGUCAAAGGUCAAGGUCACAGUGACAUUGAACGAAAAAAGAGUGUCUGUGUGAUAACUUGUCAAUGCCUGCACCCAUGGCCCUCAAACUUGACAUUUAGAUUUUUGGUGACCAGCUGAUGACUCUUAUGGAUUUUGAGGUCAUGGAGUCAAAGGUCAUGGUCAUAACACACUCUAUCCUCACACUUUGAAUGGUCAUAUUCUUAAAACUGCCUCAACGGCAUCCAAUGUCAGUGACAAAUCAGCUGUCAUUUUGGUCCAUGCAUAUUUCAUUCAAUUUACCAUAUAAUCCUGACAAUAUGGCGCUCAGGGUAGGGUGGGGCAUUAUGUUUAACAAACAUCUCUUGUUAUCAUUGAAAUAAAUAUGCAGUGUUUAUAGAAAAAAAUAAUUUUAUGU